GAUGAACGCUAGCGGCAGGCUUAACACAUGCAAGUCGAGGGGUAUAGUUCUUCGGAGCUAGAGACCGGUGCACGGGUGCGUAACGCGUAUGCAAUCUACCUUUUGCAGAGGGAUAGCCCAGAGAAAUUUGGAUUAAUACCUCAUAGUAUGUGAGAAUGGCAUCAUUUUCACAUUAAAGUCACAACGGCAAAAGAUGAGCAUGCGUCCCAUUAGCUUGUUGGUAAGGUAACGGCUUACCAAGGCAACGAUGGGUAGGGGUCCUGAGAGGGAGAUCCCCCACACUGGUAGUGGGACACGGACCAGACUCCUACGGGAGGCAGCAGUGAGGAAUAUUGGACAAUGGGCCCAAGCCUGAUCCAGCCAUGCCGCGCGCAGGAUGACGGUCCUAUGGAUUGUAAACUGCUUUUGUACAGGAAGAAACACUGGUUCGUGAACCAGCUUGACGGUACUGUAAGAAUAAGGAUCGGCUAACUCCGUGCCAGCCGCCGCCGUAACAC
rnacentral:rRNA from 1 species